rnacentral:rRNA from 1 species
UAGGGAAUCUUCGGCAAUGGACGAAAGUCUGACCGAGCAACGCCGCGUGAGUGAAGAAGGUUUUCGGAUCGUAAAGCUCUGUUGUAAGAGAAGAACGAGUGUGAGAGUGGAAAGUUCACACUGUGACGGUAUCUUACCAGAAAGGGACGGCUAACUACGUGCCAGCAGCCGCGGUAAUACGUAGGUCCCGAGCGUUGUCCGGAUUUAUUGGGCGUAAAGCGAGCGCAGGCGGUUAGAUAAGUCUGAAGUUAAAGGCUGUGGCUUAACCAUAGUACGCCUUGGAAACUGUUUAACUUGAGUGCAAGAGGGGAGAGUGGAAUUCCAUGUGUAGCGGUGAAAUGCGUAGAUAUAUGGAGGAACACCGGUGGCGAAAGCGGCUCUCUGGCUUGUAACUGACGCUGAGGCUCGAAAGCGUGGGGAGCAAACAGGAUUAGAUACCCUGGUAGUCCACGCCGUAAACGAUGAGUGCUAGGUGUUAGACCCUUUCCGGGGUUUAGUGCCGCAGCUAACGCAUUAAGCACUCCGCCUGGGGAGUACGACCGCAAGGUUG